UUUUGUGGAGAUAUUUCUGAGGAGAUUGGAGUUCAAAAUUUAAUUUAAAGGUGCAGAAUAAAUAGGCUUAUCUGGGACUCACCUAACAAUACCAAAACCAUCCCCAUCAAUAAAUAAGACUGAAGCUUCUUAUUAGAGAGAGGAGAGUGGAUAAAAUUAAGCUCCACUCUUGCUUUAGAUCUGAAAAAAAUCCACAGGUUUUUCUGUCCUUUCUUCCACUGUGAGAAGUUAACUUAGUACUAUGGGUCUGAAAGGAUGUGUAGCUGUCAAGAAGCCUCACUGAGAAAAGGAGGCACAUCAAACAAAGAUGCUGCUGAUGUUCUCAGAAUAUUGGCCCCCAGAGUCCAGACCAGAUUUUGUUGACUGUGAAAAGCAGAAAAUGCUAAACCAGCUUCUAAGACUGUACUUUGAAGGUGUGGAAAAAUAUAACUGCUUAUUAAUUUUGAAAAACUGAAAGUAAGGAAGCUGUAUGAAGGCAAAGUGUGGACACACUAAAUCCUGAUUUUCAUAUUUAGUGGUUAGGACUUUUUUUCCUGAAGCUGAAAAAUGAAUAGAUUUUAUUUCAUGGCCAUUUUGACUGGAAAAUGAAUCAAUUAAAGAGUGAUCUGACUUUUGUAUAGAAACUAGUCUUUCUUUGGAAAUUGCUCAUAAAUGCAUCACAAAUCCCAGCUUUGUGGAGCAUCAUGAGCAUAGGACUUUACUAAAUACUGUGGGCAAUGUAUCAAAGACUCUCUGGACUAAUAAAAUAAACUUUUUUCUAUGGCUCUUUACCUUUGUUAUAAAUCUCACCAUUGUUGGGUGGAUGCUGAUAUCCAGACAAAGUUGUAACUGUGUGUAAUUCUUUCAGCUUUUGUAAUUAAUUCUACGGUUCUAUGGGGUGAAUAAAAUCAGCUAAUUGUUAUGACCCAACCCUGAUCGGUGCUUCAUUGUCCAACAUAUAUACACACAUACAUCAUCUAAACCGCUCAUCCUUCUGGGUCGCGGUGGGUGCUGGGUGGGUGCUGGGUGCUGGAGCCUAUCCCAGCUGUCAUUGGGCGGAAGGCAGGAUACACUCUGGACAGGUCGCGAGUCCAUCGCAGGGCUCAUUGUCCAACAGUUUUAUCUGAAAGCUUCUUGGUUUUGAAAGUGGUGUUUGUUCAGGUAUGCUCUAAUAAACUGUGGCGCCAACGUUAACGACGGUUAGAUAGAGAGAAUAUGCCUUGCCAUUUUUCUUACUGUUUGACACAAGAUGACCCAGUUGCAUGUUUCCUUUUGAGUUAAUUUUAUACAGUAUUAACAGUUUUCCUCUCGUCUCUGUGGUAGGCUUUUAAUGAAGGAUGUGCAGUCCACUUUGGGCAUUUUCGAGGGACAGCCAGGCAACCUUUUUUUUUCUUAUGAUCAGGCAUUCCUAGAUAAGGGAAAGUAUUAUACUGGAGGGAGGCUGAUUGCCUGGUCUCUGUUGCAUGGGGGACCAGGCAUUAAGGCAUUACAUCCCAGCCUUUAUCAGUUAAUGUGUGGUCAGGCUCCAGAUCUUGAAGGAUUUGAUAUUUCCAUCUUGCCAGACAAGUGUGUGCAGGACAAGCUUCAGCAGGUAUUCUGACACUUUGCCAAUUUUUGCUUUGUUGUUUUAAAGUUAGAGCUCAUUUUAAAUUUUACAGAAAUGAACUUUGAGGGGAAAAAAGAACCGUGUGUUACUUUGUUUCUUGUCUUGUACUUUAAUAUUUUGUUGAACAACCUAAAACACUGUAUAUUUAAUGUAGCCUUAAUUUCUGUUUUGGUUUCUAUGCCUUGUCUUCUGCUGUAUUCUUAGAUUAAAGAAUGCAAAACUUAGGAGGCAUGGAAAAGUCUUCAGGACAGUUUGGAUGACUGGAUUGCAGACUGUGGUGUGCCAGGGGUAUAUGAAGCCAAAGUCCAUGACAUUCCUCUGAUACUUUCCCAAGUUGUGAAGCAUUUCAUCUUUCACAGAACUGCAAACAUGGUUGAGCAGUUUAAACAAGGAAUCAACUCUUGUGGCAAACUUCGGGAAACUGUGGAGAGGUACUGGAACGCAUUUCAGUGCCUGUUUACACACACAGAGGGACCACUGACAAGAGCUGCCUUUCGGUGUCUUUUCGAUGUCAUUUGGAGUGACGAAGGGACAAACAACAAGGAAGCUGAAGAGGACACUAUGUUUGCAUGGGAAUGUCUUCUCAACAGUGUGCAAGAAAAAAGAAACUCCUUUCACCUUUGAGGACCUACUGGUGUUUGUUAUGGGAGCAGAUGCAGUACCACCUCUUGGAUUUCCAC